CUGAGGCGGCAAGACGUGGUGGCAUCUCUGGGAAGAGCCCCCAGGGCCCACCCAGGACCGCAGCCUGCAGGCCCUGCUGCUCCCGCCAUCCCUUCCUCUCCCUCCGCGUCCUGGCGGCCAGCCCUCUCCGUCCUCCACCGCCUCCACCUGCGGGAAGCCUUCCUUGAUCUUCCAAGUCUUGGUUUGUGCUCCUGCAGCAGCCAGACCAGCCUGGGUGGAAGCGAGGCUGCGCAUCUUUUCACGUCUACUGACCUUUCAGGCUAAGGAAGGAGACAGAAAGCAGAAGCCACAGGAUUCGGGGAUACCUAGAGGUGGUACGAAUCAGUUUUAUUAAAAGAGGAAGUACAAAAUAGCAUAAUUUUCUACAUCCACAAUGGAUGGUAUUCAAAUAUCGAAUGCUUUAUUGGUUUUCAUCCUGAUUUUUUUUUUUAACUUUAUUCUGGAAUGUAACAAAUGACGUUUCUUUCUGGACCAGAUUUUAAGCCCUAGAAUUUCACUGGUCAAGUGCUGAGGCCUUAAAGUGCUUUCAUAAGAAUAUGAUGUAUAUUCCAAGCAAACAGAUACACUUGGCAGACAAUAUGCUCAGCUUGUUGGCUCUGCAAUAACAUAAUGGAAUCUUUGUUCAGAGUUUGAUGGUGCUAUUAAUACACCGUGACUCACUAAAAGCCCAGCUUCCUGGAACGUUCUGCCCAGGGAAAGGCAGAACGUUCUUCUUCCUCUGGAAGAAUCUGCAAUCACACUUUCAAAGGUUUGAGCAGAUCUUGAAGGCUUAGAAAAGAGAACAAAAGCUUCCUAAAUUAUCCAGAAUUAUUUUAACAAAUUGCCAUCCCCACAGGAAGAAGAAAAACAUCAGUUGUAUGUACUAGUCAUUCAGUCCACAAAGAUGGAUCAGUGCCUGCCAUGUGCACCAAGCUAGACUCACACCUUCCCUCCUGGGCAGACAGGCAGCAGAGAGGGGGACACAGACCUGAAACUCAAUCUUUUCAUUACGGUUGUGUAAUGCUACAAAGAAAGGCAGGGGAUGCCCAGAGUGUGUACACAGGGACUUAUGUCAGGAACGGAUUUCCUGAAGACAGCGACAUAUAAACGGGCCAGAUAACAGAUUCGGCCUGGUGUAGAGAACAUGAGUGUCCCAGGUAAGGGAUUGCUUAUGGGCACAAGGUUGUUUAGGGAAAUGACAAAGUUUUGGAAAUAGUGGCGAUGGUCGCAGAACAUUGUGAAGGUAGUUAAUGCCACUGAAUUGUAUACUUAAAAAUGGUUAAAAAGGUAAAUUUUAUGUUAUGUAUAUUUUACCACAAUAAAAGAAUACCCAAAAAUUAAAAAAAAAAAGAACUUUCCAGGCAGAGGAGCUCUUGAUGCAAGGUCUAGUCUGUUGAGUUGUCCAGCCUUGAAUAUCCCACCUGCCUUCUGUGGACACCCCCACCUCAUGAGGCAGCUGGGAGGCAAAAGGUGAUGAAAAGACCAGACACUUUUCCAGCUGCCCUUGGCAACAGGCUCAGCCAAUCACACGC